GCAAGGGAGGGCCAACAUCUUUGACUCUUCAAAUCUCUGUGCUGAAGAAAAUGGAGCAAUACCAACAAAAAUUGGGAGUUUGGAACUGGAAAGUAAACAGGAAAUACUGCUAAAAUACCCAGUUAAAUCUUACAGCCAGACUAUGAGAAUGGAGUUAGUACUACCAGCAUUUUAUAACAGCCCUUCCCAUCAAAACACAGAAAUUCAUGGCUUGUUCGAAGCUAGUAGAGAAAACAUGAGCUUUGGAAUCACACAGUACUGGGUUCAAGUUCUAGCAUUUGCAUGUACCAGCUUGAGUGACCAUGGGUGUGCUGUGCUCCCUAGGUCUGAAGGCCUUGUGAAUGACUGACUUCACCCUUCUGCACACUGAUCUUCCUAACAAUUUCUUUGUAGAUCCCACUAUGGCUGAGAUUGACUGAGAAAUCCACAAUGUUGAAAACGAGAACACUAAGCUCCUUCUCUGAGACACUGACUCUGGCCAGUCCAACUUACUCAGAGAUAAGAUGAGACCAAAACACGUAAUGAAUGAACAAGAAAUGAUCCUUUGGAAUUUUAGUUAUUUGAGCAGCUUAGUUUAGAGAAUUCCUUCUUCCUUUUCAGACAAGCAGUUCACACGCCCUAAGUGGAAAACCUGGAACCAGAGUGAAGACUAGAUAAGGCAGCUUUUCUCCUGAGGGAGGGAGGAGGGGGCAUGAUGAGGCCAUGUAGUUGACAUUGGUAUUGUGUAGCUGAGCUGGCACAGAAUACAGCAGAGUAUCCCCCUGACUAUUCCUAUUUCAAAGAUAUAUAAUACUUUCACCACCUCCUUUUCACUAUUUUUUAUAUCUGGAUGGGACAUAUUAAGUGGCCUCACAGUGUAAUGAGUUUCAAUGUCCUCCUG
rnacentral:lncRNA from 10 species